rnacentral:rRNA from 1 species
GGAUCUCUAAUUUUACUUGGAUAACUGUGGUAAUUCUAGAGCUAAUACACGCACUGAAGCUCUGACCUUACGGGACGAGCGCAUUUAUUAGAACAAAACCAAUCGGGUUCUGCCCGUUCGUUGGUGACUCUGAAUAACUCUGCUGAUCGCACGGUCUCGCACCGGCGACGUAUCUUUCAAGUGUCUGCCUUAUCAACUUUCGAUGGUAGUUUAUGUGCCUACCAUGGUUGUAACGGGUAACGGAGAAUAAGGGUUCGACUCCGGAGAGGGAGCCUGAGAAACGGCUACCACUUCCAAGGAAGGCAGCAGGCGCGCAAAUUACCCACUCUCGGCACGAGGAGGUAGUGACGAAAAAUAACGAGACGGAUCUCUUUGAGGCCCGUUAUCGGAAUGAGAACAAUUUAAAUCCUUUAACGAGGAUCUAGCGGAGGGCAAGUCUGGUGCCAGCAGCCGCGGUAAUUCCAGCUCCGCAGGUGUAUAUCUAUGCUGCUGCGGUUAAAAAGCUCGUAGUUGGAUCUGCGUGCUCGGAGCCGGUUGGCUCACUGAGUUCAAACUGGUCUCCGGCGCUUUAUUGGCUGGUUUUCCCUUGAUGCUCUUAACCGGGUGUCUUGGGUGGCUAGCACGUUUACUUUGAAAAAAUUAGAGUGCUCAAUACAGGCGCAAAGCCUUGAAUAGUGGUGCAUGGAAUAAUAGAAUAGGACCUCGGCUCUAUUUUGUUGGUUUUCGGAACGCGAGGUAAUGAUUAAGAGGGACAGACGGGGGCAUUCGUAUUGCGACGUUAGAGGUGAAAUUCUUGGAUCGUCGCAAGACGGACGACUGCGAAAGCAUUUGCCAAGAAUGUUUUCAUUAAUCAAGAACGAAAGUUAGAGGUUCGAAGGCGAUCAGAUACCGCCCUAGUUCUAACCGUAAACGAUGCCAACUAGCGAUCCGCAGGCGUUAAACAACGACCUUGCGGGCAGCUUCCCGGAAACGAAAGUGUUCGGGUUCCGGGGGAAGUAUGGUUGCAAAGCUGAAACUUAAAGGAAUUGACGGAAGGGCACCACCAAGAGAGGAGCCUGCGGCUUAAUUUGACCCAACACGGGAAAACUCACCCGGCCCGGACACCGUAAGGAUUGACAGAUUGAGAGCUCUUUCUUGAUUCGGUGGGUGGUGGUGCAUGGCCGUUCUUAGUUGGUGGAGCGAUUUAUCUGGUUUAUUCCGAUAACG